rnacentral:rRNA from 1 species
AGGGUUCGAUUCUGGCUCAGGAUGAACGCUGGCGGCGUGCUUAACACAUGCAAGUCGAACGGAGUUUAGAGAGCUUGCUCUUAAACUUAGUGGCGGACGGGUGAGUAACGCGUGGGUAACCUGCCUUUCACUGGGGGAUAACAGUUAGAAAUGACUGCUAAUACCGCAUAAGCGCACGGGUUCGCAUGAACUAGUGUGAAAAACUCCGGUGGUGAAAGAUGGACCCGCGUCUGAUUAGCUAGUUGGUGAGGUAACGGCCCACCAAGGCGACGAUCAGUAGCCGGCCUGAGAGGGUGAACGGCCACAUUGGGACUGAGACACGGCCCAAACUCCUACGGGAGGCAGCAGUGGGGAAUAUUGCACAAUGGGGGAAACCCUGAUGCCAGCGACGCCGCGUGAGUGAAGAAGUAUUUCGGUAUGUAAAGCUCUAUCAGCAGGGAAGAAAAUGACGGUACCUGACUAAGAAGCCCCGGCUAACUACGUGCCAGCCGCCGC